rnacentral:rRNA from 1 species
GUUUGGUUAAGUUAGAAAGGGCGCACGGUGGAUGCCUUGACACUAGGAGUCGAUGAAGGACGGGACUAACGCCGAUAUGCUUCGGGGAGCUGUAAGUAAGCUUUGAUCCGAAGAUUUCCGAAUGGGGAAACCCACCAUACGUAAUGGUAUGGUAUCCUUACCUGAAUACAUAGGGUAAGGAAGACAGACCCAGGGAACUGAAACAUCUAAGUACCUGGAGGAAGAGAAAGCAAAUGCGAUUUCCUGAGUAGCGGCGAGCGAAACGGAACAUAGCCCAAACCAAGAGGCUUGCCUCUUGGGGUUGUAGGACAUUCUAUACGGAGUUACAAAGGAACGAGGUAGACGAAGCGACCUGGAAAGGUCCGUCGUAGAGGGUAACAACCCCGUAGUCGAAACUUCGUUCUCUCUUGAAUGUAUCCUGAGUACGGCGGAACACGUGAAAUUCCGUCGGAAUCUGGGAGGACCAUCUCCCAAGGCUAAAUACUCCCUAGUGAUCGAUAGUGAACCAGUACCGUGAGGGAAAGGUGAAAAGCACCCCGGAAGGGGAGUGAAAGAGAUCCUGAAACCGUGUGCCUACAAAUAGUCAGAGCCCGUUAAUGGGUGAUGGCGUGCCUUUUGUAGAAUGAACCGGCGAGUUACGAUCCCGUGCGAGGUUAAGCUGAAGAGGCGGAGCCGCAGCGAAAGCGAGUCUGAAUAGGGCGUUUAGUACGUGGUCGUAGACCCGAAACCAGGUGAUCUACCCAUGUCCAGGGUGAAGUUCAGGUAACACUGAAUGGAGGCCCGAACCCACGCACGUUGAAAAGUGCGGGGAUGAGGUGUGGGUAGCGGAGAAAUUCCAAUCGAACCUGGAGAUAGCUGGUUCUCCCCGAAAUAGCUUUAGGGCUAGCCUUAAGUGUAAGAGUCUUGGAGGUAGAGCACUGAUUGAACUAGGGGUCCUCAUCGGAUUACCGAAUUCAGUCAAACUCCGAAUGCCAAUGACUUAUCCUUAGGAGUCAGACUGCGAGUGAUAAGAUCCGUAGUCAAGAGGGAAACAGCCCAGAUCGCCAGCUAAGGUCCCAAAGUGUGUAUUAAGUGGAAAAGGAUGUGGAGUUGCUUAGACAACUAGGAUGUUGGCUUAGAAGCAGCCACCAUUUAAAGAGUGCGUAAUAGCUCACUAGUCGAGUGACUCUGCGCCGAAAAUGUACCGGGGCUAAAUACACCACCGAAGCUGCGAAUUGAUACCAAUGGUAUCAGUGGUAGGGGAGCGUUCUAAGUGCAGUGAAGUCAGACCGGAAGGACUGGUGGAGCGCUUAGAAGUGAGAAUGCCGGUAUGAGUAGCGAAAGACGGGUGAGAAUCCCGUCCACCGAAUGCCUAAGGUUUCCUGAGGAAGGCUCGUCCGCUCAGGGUUAGUCAGGACCUAAGCCGAGGCCGACAGGCGUAGGCGAUGGACAACAGGUUGAUAUUCCUGUACCACCUCUUUAUCGUUUGA